UACAUUUAAGUGUAUGAAGCACGUGAAUUUUUGAUGUUUAAGGGAGAAGUUUAAUUCUUCUAAAUGUAA
rnacentral:tRNA from 1 species